rnacentral:rRNA from 1 species
UUUGCCUACGGGACGCAGCAGUGGGGAAUAUUGCACAAUGGGGGAAACCCUGAUGCAGCGACGCCGCGUGAGUGAAGAAGUAUUUCGGUAUGUAAAGCUCUAUCAGCAGGAACGAGACAAGACGGUACCUGACUAAGAAGCCCCGGCUAACUACGUGCCAGCAGCCGCGGUAAUACGUAGGGGGCAAGCGUUAUCCGGAAUCACUGGGUGUAAAGGGAGCGUAGACGGCUGAGCAAGCCUGAAGUGAAAGGCGGGGGCCCAACCCCCGGACUGCUCUGGAAACUGUGUAACUGGAGUGCAGGAGG